GCAUUACAGUAUAACUUUAGUAGAUUUUUCUGCUUUAGUUAUACUUGUGGCUUUGGAGCUACUUGAUAUUGUGUAGCAUGGUCCUUUCCACUGUAUCGUACAUCAAUGAUGUCUCCAGCUGUGUAGCUGAUGAAGGCUGAAGCAAUGUAUAUUCCAUGACCUAUCCAGAGCUGAUUUUUGGCUGUGACUGGAUAGACAGACCAUGCAAAGCACAAUU